rnacentral:lncRNA from 1 species
CAUCUCCGUGUAGCUAGAUAUACCGGUGUACCGUCAAAUCCUAUCUCUUGUCCAAAUUACAUCCCUUCCUGAUUUUCAGUACGUUUUUUAUUUUUCAGCUGACUUUAAUUAUUUCUAUAGCUUUUUAUUUUCAGCGAAAUAUAUGUUGACAGACAAACAAGAAAUAUUUCGUCAUCGACUGCCACUGGGGAUGUUUACACAGAACUGAUUCAGCCUCGAGUAAAGCGUGAUUAAAGAAUCCAGGGAAUCAGGAGUCUGUCGCCGCAGGAUACUUGCUAUUUUCCACCUGGGCAGAUGAAUCACCACCAUAACGCUCUCUAUCCACCCCUUACCUUCACAGUGCUGAGGCAAUAUCCGUGGAGCUUACUGUAAAUAGAUUCUAUCGUUUUACAGCUACAUUUGUUUGUUAUGAAAGGACAGACCAAAGCAGUUGACAACAGAGAUCGUUUGUGUGGUGUUAUAGAUGUUUCAGUAGCGAAGAACAGAGAUGGACUAUCCAAAGAAGAAUAAAUCCAGGACUUUGAAUUUUGACUGGACAAGUUUAAUUAGAAGGUAAAGCUUAUUCCAAGAUACUUCAGAAAAAAUAAAACAU